rnacentral:rRNA from 1 species
AUUGAACGCUGGCGGCAUGCCUUACACAUGCAAGUCGAACGGUAACGCGGGGCAACCUGGCGACGAGUGGCGAACGGGUGAGUAAAGUAUCGGAACGUGCCCAGUAGUGGGGGAUAGCCCGGCGAAAGCCGGAUUAAUACCGCAUGAGACCUGAGGGUGAAAGCGGGGGAUCGCAAGACCUCGCGCUAUUGGAGCGGCCGAUAUCAGAUUAGGUAGUUGGUGGGGUAAAAGCCUACCAAGCCGACGAUCUGUAGCUGGUCUGAGAGGACGACCAGCCACACUGGGACUGAGACACGGCCCAGACUCCUACGGGAGGCAGCAGUGGGGAAUUUUGGACAAUGGGCGCAAGCCUGAUCCAGCCAUGCCGCGUGCGGGAAGAAGGCCUUCGGGUUGUAAACCGCUUUUGUCAGGGAAGAAAUCUUCUGGGUUAAUACCUCGGGAGGAUGACGGUACCUGAAGAAUAAGCACCGGCUAACUACGUGCCAGCCGCCGCAGUAACAC